GGGUGCGAUUAUACCAGCACUAAUACACCAGAUCCCAUCAGAACUCCGCAGUUAAGUGUGCUUGGGCGAGAGUAGUACUAGGAUCGAUGACCUCCUGGGAAGUCCUUGUGUUGCACCCC
rnacentral:rRNA from 1 species